rnacentral:lncRNA from 1 species
UAGAACAAUAUGUGUAUCUUCUCUUUUAGCAGCGGCAGAGCCAAUGUCCCAAUGGUUCUCUAGGGACUUCCUUCAACGGAUUUCUGAGAAGAGUGAGGCCCUCUGCUUUGCCCUGAGACUGCAGUUGUCUCUUCCACUGGAAGGAAGUGGUGGAGUGCGAGUUGGAGAAAUGAACAAAGCUGAUUUUUACAUAACUUAUGUGGACCUCCGAUAUAAUACCACUAUAUCUGCGUGGUGGUCUGUAGUAUCAUUAUCAAGCACUAAAUGCUAAAGAAAGCUUCAGAAAAAUCUGAAUCAGCCAAGAGAAGAAAACAGCGUACGAGCUUGUAGUAGAAGCAAUGUCUAUUUCUUAAUUGCAUGUCUCCACAAAUCCUAAAUUUCUAUUAAAUUUUGG